rnacentral:rRNA from 1 species
UACAGAGGGGGCUAGCGUUGUUCGGAAUUACUGGGCGUAAAGGGCGCGUAGGCGGCCCGCUAAGUCGAACGUGAAAUCCCCGGGCUCAACCCGGGAACUGCGUCCGAUACUGGAAGGCUCGAGUGCGGGAGAGGGAUGUGGAAUUCCAGGUGUAGCGGUGAAAUGCGUAGAUAUCUGGAGGAACACCGGUGGCGAAGGCGGCAUCCUGGACCGACACUGACGCUGAGGCGCGAAAGCCAGGGGAGCAAACGGG